rnacentral:rRNA from 1 species
AUUGAACGCUGGCGGCAGGCCUAACACAUGCAAGUCGAGCGGAUGAAGGGUGCUUGCUCCUGGAUUCAGCGGCGGACGGGUGAGUAAUGCCUAGGAAUCUUCCUUGUAGUGGUGGAUAACGUCCGGAAACGUGCGCUUAUUCCGCAUACGUCCUGAGGGAGGAAGUGGGGGAUCUUCGGACCUCUCGCUAUCAGAUUAUCCUGGGUCUGAUUAGCUAGUUGGUGGGGUAAAGGGCUACCAAGGCGAAGAUCCGUAACUGGUCUGAGAGGUGGAUCAGUCACACGGGAACGGAGACAGGGACAAGAGUACUGCGGGAGGGAGCAGUGGGGAAUAUUGGGCAGUAGGCGGAAACAUGGUCCAACGAGGCCGCGUGUGUGAAGAAGGUGUUCGGAGAGUAAAGAACGUUAGGUUGGGAGGAAGGGCAGUAAGUUAAUACGAUGCUGAAGUGACGUUACCAACAGAAUAAGCACCGGCUAACUUCGUG